UUGCGCUGGGUUUGGUUGAGCCGCGGAUGACAGCAAGUUAGGUUGCGCAGCUGUUGGAGGCGGGGUUUGGUUGACCGAUGGGCGGCAGCAAGUUAGGUUGCGCUGGGUUUGGUUGACCGGUGGGCGACAGCAAGUUAGGUUGCGCGGCUGUUGGAGGCAGCAGGUUAGGUUGCGCUGGGUUUGGUUGACCCGCGGGCAACAGCAAGUUAGGUUGCGUGGCUGUUGGAGGCGGGGUUUGGUUGACCCGCGGGCGAUAGCAAGUUAGGUUGCGCUGGGUUUGGUUGACCCGCGGGCAACAGCAAGUUGCGUUGCGCUGGGUUUGGUUGACCCGCGGGCGACAGCAAGUUAGGUUGCGCUAUGUUUGGUUGACCCGCGGGCGACAGCAAGUUAGGUUGCGCUGGGUUUGGUUGACCCGCGGGCAACAGCAAGUUAGGUUGUGCUGGGUUUGGUUGACGGGGCAGGCGGCAGCAAGUUGCGUUGCGCGGCCGUUGGAGGCGGGGUUUGGUUGACCUGCGGGCGGCAGCAAGUUGCGUUGCGCGGCCAUUGGCGGCGGGGUUUGGUUGACCCGCGGGCGGCAGCAAGUUGCGUU